CCUACGGGUGGCAGCAGUGAGGAAUAUUGGUCAAUGGACGAGAGUCUGAACCAGCCAAGUAGCGUGAAGGAUGACUGCCCUAUGGGUUGUAAACUUCUUUUAUAAAGGAAUAAAACGAGGCACGUGUGCCUUGUUGCAUGUACUUUAUGAAUAAGGAUCGGCUAAAUCCGUGCCAGCAGCCGAGGUAAUACGGGGGAUCCGAGCGUUAUCCGGAUUUAUUGCGUUUAAAGGGAGCGUAGAUGGGUUGUUAAGUCAGUUGUGAAAGUUUGCGGCUCAACCGUAAAAUUGCAAUUGAUACUGGCAGUCUUGAGUACAGUUGAGGUAGGCGGAAUUCGUGGUGUAGCGGUGAAAUGCUUAGAUAUCACGAAGAACCCCGAUUGCGAAGGCAGCUUACUAAACUGUGACUGACAUUGAUGCUCGAAAGUGUGGGUAUCAAACAGGAUUAGAUACCCUGGUAGUC
rnacentral:rRNA from 1 species